rnacentral:rRNA from 1 species
CAAAGGAAUUGACGGGGAGCACCACAACGGUGGAGCUUGCGGUUAAUUGGAUUCAACGCCGGAAAUCGUUACCGGACCGACAGCAAUAUGAAGGCCAGGCUGAAGACUUUGCCGGAUUAGCUGAGAGGUGGUGCAUGGCCGUCGUCAGUUCGUACUGUGAAGCAUCCUGUUAAGUCAGGCAACGAGCGAGACCCACGCCCACAGUUGCCAGCGUACUCUCCGGAGUGACGGGUACACUGUUGGGACCGCCUCUGCUAAAGAGGAGGAAGGAAUGGGCAACGGUAGGUCAGCAUGCCCCGAAUUAAUUGGGCUACACGCGGGCUACAAUGGGUGGGACAAUGGGUAUCGACACCGAAAGGUGAAGGCAAUCUCCUAAACCCAUCCGUAGUUCGGAUUGUGGGCUGCAACUCGCCCACAUGAAGCUGGAAUCUGUAGUAAUCGUGUUUCAAAAUAGCACGGUGAAUAUGUCCCUGCUCCUU